rnacentral:tRNA from 1 species
CGGAGUGUAGCGCAGUUGGCUAGCGCGCCUGCUUUGGGAGCAGGAGGUCGUGGGUUCAAAUCCCACCACUCCGA